rnacentral:rRNA from 1 species
AGGUGUUACUGCGAAGGGGGGACGGAGAAGGCUAUGUUGGCCGGGCGACGGUUGUCCCGGUUUAAGCGUGUAGGUGUGUGUUCCAGGUAAAUCCGGUUCACUCUAACACUGAGGCGUGAUGACGAGGCACUACGGUGCUGAAGUGACAAAUGCCCUGCUUCCAGGAAAAGCCUCUAAGCAUCAGGUAACAUCAGAUCGUACCCCAAACCGACACAGGUGGUCAGGUAGAGAAUACCAAGGCGCUUGAGAGAACUCGGGUGAAGGAACUAGGCAAAAUGGUGCCGUAACUUCGGGAGAAGGCACGCUGAUAUGUAGGUGAAGCGAUUUACUCGUGGAGCUGAAAUCAGUCGAAGAUACCAGCUGGCUGCAACUGUUUAUUAAAAACACAGCACUGUGCAAACACGAAAGUGGACGUAUACGGUGUGACGCCUGCCCGGUGCCGGAAGGUUAAUUGAUGGGGUUAUCCGUAAGG